ensembl:lncRNA
GUUCACACAAUAAGCGUGUUGCUUGAUCGGAGAGUGGUCACCUACAUCUAUGUCAUGUUCGAGGACAGUAGUGCGAGACGGAGUGUCAGCACACAGAGAUGGAGUUUCUGAGUCGGGAGCAACCCUCAGCACAAACGAAAGCUAAGCCAUCACUUUCUGGGCUAUACUGAGACGGAGAUGCUGGCACAACUACCAACACGGCAGACAGCGCAGCGGGGGAUGAGGAGGAGUUUACACCUGCAUCACGAACAAAAUAAGGCUUCAUCAGAUUAACAUGACACACACGACACUUUCUCCUACGGUCUGGGGUACCUAUAACAUAAUCUGUGUCACUCAGUUUCUCUUGGACAGUAUAGGGCCCACAGAACUUUGCCUGGAGAGAGGAUCCAGGAACGGGUAGGAGAGUCAACACUUUGUCACCCACUUCAAAUUUUCUCUGCACGGACUUUUUGUCGAAUUUCCUUUUCAUUUUUUCCUGAGAUGCGGAAAGAGCCUCGCGUGCAAUUUCGCAUGCUUUAUGCAGACGCUCCCUAAAACAACUUACGUAAUCUAAUACGUUCUGCUCGGGGGUACCUGUUGUCGAGGAGGGAAAUUAUUUUACUGCUAUUGUUAAAUAAUUGUCAUUGCAUUAAUAAUAUAAUCUGCAGCAUGGAUAUUGCAUUCCAAGGUUUAAACAGUGUCUCUUUCAGAAAGACUGAGUUGCAGGCUGACAGGAAGUUGUAUGCAGAAGUGAAACCAGGAAGUUAUUUUGAGCCGCAGGCUAAGACGAGGCUUUAACAAUGUAACAGAUAGCUUUAUCAUUUUAUAUUAAGGUUUUAGUAGAGGUUCUUGAUUAAAACAUUUAUUUAGUAGAAGACAUACACAUAGUCUCAGUGAGCUUCUGGUCUGGUAAAAGGUCAGAAGUGCAACAGGUGAAUUGAGAAAGAGCAUGUGAGGUCACGAGGCUUAAACAAUGUAACAGAUAGCUUUAUCAUUUUAUAUUAAGGUUUUAGUAGAGGUUCUUGAUUAAAACAUUUAUUUAGUAGAAGACAUACACAUAGUCUCAGUGAGCUUCUGGUCUGGUAAAAGGUCAGAAGUGCAACCGGUGAAUUGAGAAAGAGCAUGUGAGGUCGUGACACACACACAUAGAGUUAAAUUUAUUUAGAGGAACCGUCCUUGUUGUCUCGGCAAGAAAGAGGAACAAUUCAUUUUAAGAUAAGAACGGAAAG